rnacentral:rRNA from 1 species
ACUCCUACGGGAGGCAGCAGUGGGGAAGUCUUAGACAAUAGGGCGGCAAGCCUGAUCUAGCCAUGCCGCGUGAGUGAUGAAGGCCUUAGGGUCGUAAAGCUCUUUCGCCAGGGAUGAUAAUGACAGUACCUGGUAAAGAAACCCCGGCUAACUCCGUGCCAGCAGCCGCGGUAAUACGGAGGGGUUAGCGUUGUUCGGAAUUACUGGGGCGUAAAGCGCGCGUAGGCGGAUUAGUCAGUUAGAGGUGAAAUCCCAGGGCUCAACCCUGGAACUGCCUUUAAUACUGCUAGUCUUGAGUUCGAGAGAGGUGAGUGGAAUUCCGAGUGUAGAGGUGAAAUUCGUAGAUAUUCGGAGGAACACCAGUGGCGAAGGCGGCUCACUGGCUCGAUACUGACGCUGAGGUGCGAAAGUGUGGGGAGCAAACAGGAUUAGAUACCCUGGUAGGAUAGCG